rnacentral:lncRNA from 1 species
CAUAUGUCAAACCAGCAUUAAGGCUCCCUGUGUUCAAUAGGGCUCCCUCCAAAGUAAGUGUGUGCAGGAUGGCAGCCUCAGGUACAUGUAUUCUAUAUAUCCUCCAUACCUUCUGAGUGUUCCUAUUUUCCAGGGACAGUCACAGAUUUACAGAAGCUGUCUCGGUUUCUGAUUCAAUCCUAGAAUGUUCCGCUUUUCCUUAGGAUGUCCCUAUUUUCAUCGGACAAAUAUUGGAGGGUAUGGAGUUAUGAAAACCCCAAGCCAAGGAGAAAAGUAACUACAGUGGUACCUCGGGUUAAGUACUUAAUUCAUUCCGGAGGUCUGUUCUUAACCUGAAACGGUUCUUAAUCUGAAGCACCACUUUAGCUAAUGGGGCCUCCUGCUGCCGCCGCACUGCCGGAGCCCAAUUUCUGUUCUUAUCCUGAAGCAAAGUUCUUAACCUGAAGCACUAUUUCUGGGUUAGCAGAGUGUGUAACCUGAAGCGUAUGUAACCUGAAGCCUAUGUAACCCGAGGUACCACUGUAUACAACCUUUAUAAGACAUCUGAAGGCAACCCUGUAUAGGGAAGUUAAAAAAAAAAAUGUUUAAUGUUUUAUGAUGUUUUUGGAUAUGUUGAAAACUGCCCAGAGUGGCUGGGGCAAUCCAAUCAGAUGGGUGGGGAACAACAACAACAACAACUGAAUAGGACGUCCCUAGUUUCAUUGGAGAAAUGUUGGAGGGUAUGAUCCUCAAAGUGCAGAUUUUGAACAGGAAUAGUAUUUGGCCUAUUACACAUUACAUAAAAUAUUCAGACCCUGCCUUUCCUCAUAUAGUUCAAGGUGGCCACAUAACAUAUGAUUCUAGGCCCACGGUCUCCAACAGGCAGGUCAUGCCGGUUGUACUAUAACUGGAUCUCCCAUACGUGGAGAUCUACAAGUACCACUUAAUAUCUGCCCUGUCUUUGCAAGAAAGCAAUUCCUCAGCGUGGCAGCACCCAGCCUUUGGAACGCCCUGCUCAUCAGUAUUAGACUGAUGCCUUUGUUAUACUACUUUUGCCAUCUGCUAAAAACUGUUGUGCUCCAGCUAGCAGGCAAGUAAUUUCAGUCUGCAAUUUCAAUGUGCGAUUUUAGCAGGCAUCUUUGUUUUAAAAUUGCUUUUUCAUAUAUUAAUUUUAUUGUUUUUGACAUUUGCUUUGAUUGAUACCAUUGCUGGUUUUUUUGGGUUGUCUUUUGUUAACCACUUAGAUGUUUUUUAGUUUGAGUAAGCAACAUAUGCAUUAUGUCAAAAAUUAGAGAGAGAGAGAAUUUUUGACAUAAUGAAUAUGUUAUGCAUUACAUAAUGUGGGCCUUUCUUCUACCCAUGAAUAUAUUGAUGGGUGGAAAGAAGGCCCACAUUAUAGCCUGAAGUUCGUGGUACAGUUUGGUCUUUGAAGGGCUGAUAUGAUAUUAUCUAGCCAUGGGCAACUUAAGAUGGAAGGGAAAUUCCUAUUCAGAAGAUAGUAAAUGCAAGUUUGUACAUGAAAUAGUCUGAUCAGUAUUCCUGUGCUUCUUAGAUUUUGAGUUUAGAAUGGCUAUGAGCCAUCUUUGUAAUCACCACAAUGGAAGGCAAUUUAAUGAUUUUCAAUAUUUAUUUGAGAUUAGGAGUGUUGAUGGAUUUAGUGUUUUUUAGAUUGAUUAAUCUUCUGCCUCUUAAUGAAUCAGCCAGUGAAUCUCUACACAAAAUUUAUAGAUAUUUGAGUGUUACCUAAUCCUUAAAAUAGGGGCUUUUAAAAGUUCAUUAAGUACAUGUGAGACUUUAUAGAAGUAAACAAAGACUAUCAGUCAUUUGUUUGGAAGGAAGUCUUUCUUCAUUUUUAUUCCUUAUCACAGUUAUGUAACAUUCAAAAUAACCUUGAAACAUAUGCAGAAUAUAUUCUAGUGCUAAAAAUUAAAAAUUGCUUCAUUGAUUGAAUUGAUCUUCCCUGAUUCAAGGUUUGAGCCCAAACUGAAGUCUACAGAUUGCCUUAUUUCUCCACUCCAUACAAUAUUAAACCCCACAGAAGAUUUUUUAAUAUUAUUAUUAUUGAAACAGUAUUCCACAAAUUCUAAAUUUGGUGUGGUGUUGGGAUAUGUAUGAGCCUGAGAUUGCCCAAGUAAUAUGGGACAUUUCCAGAAUUAAAUCAACAUUUGUAAGUCUUGUAUGACUCAUUAACAAAUUAGUUUCAUGGUUGACUUACAUUUGUACAUGUCAGGGUGUGAAUUUUAUAUACAGAUCAACAAGAUGGGACAGAUUGAGGUGUGAACAUAUUUAUGUAAGGGAUCUGUAGGUUUAGAAAUAAAGAAAGCAGAAUAGGCUCCCUAUUGAUGCCUUUUGAUUUGCCUUGUUCUUUCCACACUCUGAUAUCCAAGAAGCUUUGAAGAUGACAGUCAGAUAUUGUGUAUUAAGUAGAAGCCAAAGGCUUGUGACAGAGCAAGUCAGAAAGCUAAGGAUAUUUCAAAGCCUUAACUAAAUAUCGGCAUAUACCAUGUGCCAACCCUUCACUCACAGUUAGUGGAACACAUGUAUUUCUGUCUCCUGCUUCUCUCUCAUUCUCUCGGCCAGAAACCAAACAACGCACAAGCUGGCCAACAAGUGCCACAUUUUCUCAAGCAAGAUGAAGAAACCACCCCGGUUGUGGACUCUCCAAUCGCCACUCUUUCAUCUACAUCAGCUAUUCCAGCCGAAGGAGGAGGGUUUCUUUGAACUUCUUUGAACUAAUUUGAACUUGGAGCUGCAAACUGAUUUGAACUUUGAACUCAUUCAAAAUUCAAACUUGGAGCUAUUCGAACUUGGAGCUUCGAACCCUUAGCCCACUUAAGUCCCCUUGGCCCACUUAAGUCCCUUUAGCCCACUUAAGACCCAUUAGGCUACUUAGGUCCCCCUAGCAAACUUAGCUCACUUACAUCCGCAUUAGCCCAUUUAAAUUCACUUUAGCCCCCUUACGUCACCUUAGACCACUUAAGGGACAUAAAGGGACUUAAGAUGGCUAAUGGGACUUAAUUGCUUAAGGGGACCACAGGGGGCAGGCUUCAGCAUUUCACUCAAGAAUGGUGCCAAACAACAACAGAUGGGUGAUGUAGUGGUUCUAGGGGUUGCUCAUGCGUAAGCCGGUGCAAACACCUGGCUGGGUUGCCUGAGUGAACCUUUUCUGUCCGGACAGCCACUCACCCGUGGCUGUCUCAAUCGCUGGCAGAAUCUGUCAGUGGGCAUUUCUUAAACUUCUUCCAGCAAAGAAGCUCUUUGACGCCUAGUCUCCUCCUACUCUCUCUGCGCGAAAGCCUUCUGUGCAAGGAGGGCGUAGGCAGCGGAGGACCCCUACUCUCCCCGCUGGUCCCCGGCAAGGAGUCAUGGGACCACCUCGCCGCUUCCCCCAUCUGCCCCCCUUCUCCACUGGUGCUACGCUGAUUCUCUUCCCCAGAAGAUGGGCUACCUCUCCCAAUCCCGGGACGCUCUCUGGAAUCCCUCUGGAUCUUGCUCUCUCCCUCUGGCACUGAUGGCAGUUCCCUGACAGGUGAUCAACACAGUUUCUUGCAGAUACUCUUUGUUUUUUUCCAGAAGUGCAAGAAGUUCCCAAGAGUGUGACAUACAUAUAAACAACAUCACAUCACCUCUCAGUUGGCCCUUAUGCAUAAAUCUGUUUCUCUGCUAAUGUUAAGGUAAAGGUAAAGGUACCCCUGCCCGUACGGGCCAGUUGUGUCCGACUCUAGGG